GCGGAGGCGCCGGCUCUCAGACCCGCAGGUCCCCAGCCGUAGGACGAGGCGGGGAGAGGGAGUCCUAGGUUGCCCCUCUCCCCACGCCGGGCUCGCUCGCCCUAGCUGAGGGUCGGAGCCUCAACCACCGCCAAGUUCAACCCACCGCCUCCCCUUUCCGCCGGGCCCCGUUCCAUUGUCGCGCGGCCUUUGCGGCGCCCGAGCCCGCAAUGUCGGGCUGCAACGGGGACCUGGGCGUGCCGGUGGAGGCGGGCGCGGAAGCCUUUCUGGAAACACUUCCCUGGAAACCAAGGAAAGUCUGAGAAACUGUCACAGCCAAUAGGAGCCUAGAGGCAUGACAACUAAAUGUAAUAUGGUGUCCUGAUGGGAUCCUAGAACAGAAAAAGGACAUUAUGUGAAAACUAAAGAAAUCUGAAUAAAGUAUGGACUUUAGUUUAUAAUAAUAAUUGAUCAAUAGUGGUUCAUUAAUGUAACAAAUGUACCACACUAAUGUAUGAUGUUAAUAAUAGAAGAAACCGGGUUCAGGGCAUAUGGGGACUGUGUAUACUAUUUUCACAAUUUUUCUGUAAAUCUAAAACUAUUUUAAAAUUAAAAGUUUAUUUUUAAAAACUUGU